rnacentral:rRNA from 1 species
AUGAGGGAGUUUCAUCCAGAAUGGACUGAAUGGGUUAGGAAAAUCCUGGUAGGAGGCACAGUUAGUGUGAAGCUGAAUGACGAGGCGGGGCCCUAUUUUCAAAGUACAAAAGGGGUGCGCCAGGUAGACCCAUUCUCACCUUUCCUCUUUAACUUAGCCGCUGACUGCUUGACAAAAAUGGUGAUUAAAGCCCAGCAGAAUGGCUUGUUCAAAGGGUUAGCGUCUGAUUUGAUACCAAAUGGGGUGGCUAUCUUGCAAUAUGCGGACGACACGAUCCUAUGCUUCGAGGAUAACCCUAGAAAUGCUCUUAAUAUUAAGUUGUUGUUAUAUCUUUUUGAAGUCAUGUCUGGGCUGAAAAUCAAUUUUCUGAAAAGUGAAAUAUUUUCGAUACGUGUUGAUGAUACUACUAUGCAAAAAUAUGCUGAGAUGUUUAACUGCCAGAUAGGUAACUUCCCUAUCAAAUACCUAGGCAUGCCGGUGAGCUAUACUGGUUUGAAGUGUAGUGAUUGGGCCUUUGUAGAUGACAAAUUCAUCGAUCACUGUGAAAACUGGAUUAGUGAAGCUCUA